GGGGCACCCUCAUCUGUCCAUGUGUGGGGAUCAGCCUGGGCUCCGCGGCCUCCGCUUGCACCAUACGUGGACCCAGGCUACCGGUGGGCAAGAUAGAGGACUGAGCCCAGGCACGCACGGCUGGCCAGAAAAGGCUGACCAGCCUCUGGUUCCCGUACCGGUCAAGUGAUUGGAGUACCUUUCCAGUUUGGAAACAUCUGGGCAGGCCCAAAUUUAACAGGAUCCAGGGGGAAGUACCAAGCCUGUCCCAUUGGCCAUCCUGUGUGUCAUGUCCUGUGACCAAGUGGAUGCUCAGCACCCUCCAGCUGAAGAAACAGGUUGCCUUAGAUACAUGAAAGAUGAGGACACCUACUAUCCCCAUGGAGCCCAGGUGGGACUGUGAGUCUGCUGUUUGUACAGCCGGUGGGCUUGUGUUGCUUUGGGCAUCCCUGUGCCUGAAUUCCUGCAGUACACUCGGUGGUAAGAACGAGGGUGCCUGGCAGGGAGGGAAGCGGGUCGGGAGACUGAACAGCUGGGGAGACGUUAACCUGGGGUGAGCGGGAGCCGGCUGAUGCAUGGCAUCUCGGUGCAGGGAACUCUCCACACUGAGAGAGGUUCCCACUCCCGCAGGGUCCCUUUGAUCAGGGUGCUGGGCUGUCAGCAAAGCAGGGUCCCUGUGAGGAUCAUGGUGCCUUCAGGCAGUGGGAAGUGAAGGGUCCAGUGGCACUU